rnacentral:lncRNA from 1 species
AGUGUACCCAGGCGCGGUGCCUGCUGGGAAUUGUAGUUGACGUUGGUCAGCACGGAGGCCACAGGAUCCCAGCCCGGCCUUUGUGGGACUGAGGUGGCGCUGAGUGGGAGAGCAGCAGGCGAUGCGCGAAAGGCGGGACUUGGAGAUAAAUACUGAGCACCCACAACAGGCAGCCAGCACCACUGCAGAUUGGAUACUGCAAUGAUGAUAAGCAUGGCCUGCCUUUAUGGAGAAAGCCAACAAAAUCAUUUGUGACCCUGGUUUCUUUCAGUUCAAGGCAUGUGGUGAUCAUGCUGCCUAAGAGUAUCUUUGUUUACCUGAGGACCUUGGGCCAUGCCAAGUAUUUGUCAACAAUGUGAUUUAUGGUUCUGGAUGUUCCUGUGGAUAACCUCAAGGAGCACGGGACCUGGGACAUGACUGCCCCCAGCAUUCCUUCUGGCGGCAGACAGAGUUUGUCAGUUCGCCAACAUCCUGCUUUCAUGAGAACAGUUUGCUGUUUGCUCACAGAGCCUCCAGUGGUAUACUGAGUUGGUCACGACCCUCAUUCCUUCGGCCUCCAACAUCUCCCCUUUUGUUUUUGCAUUAAUUGAAUAAAGGUAAUUUCAGGCUGUGCA